CCUACGGGAGGCAGCAGUGGGGAAUAUUGGACAAUGGGGGAAACCCUGAUCCAGCGACGCCGCGUGAGUGAAGAAGUAUUUCGGUAUGUAAAGCUCUAUCAGCAGGGAAGAAAAUGACGGUACCUGACUAAGAAGCCCCGGCUAACUACGUGCCAGCAGCCGCGGUAAUACGUAGGGGGCAAGCGUUAUCCGGAUUUACUGGGUGUAAAGGGAGCGCAGACGGCUUGGCAAGUCUGAAGUGAAAGCCCGGGGCUUAACCCCGGGACUGCUUUGGAAACUGUGAAGCUAGAGUGUCGGAGAGGUAAGUGGAAUUCCCAGUGUAGCGGUGAAAUGCGUAGAUAUUGGGAGGAACACCGGUGGCGAAGGCGGCUUACUGGACGAUAACUGACGUUGAGGCUCGAAGGCGUGGGGAGCAAACAGGAUUAGAUACCCCGGUAGUC
rnacentral:rRNA from 1 species